AUAAGCUAUCCUGCCGCAGCUCGCCUGCCAGGUGGUUUUCUUAAUUAGUUAAUUGGUUGCAUCUGGUGCGUUUCACUUAAAAGGGAACCGGACAGUACAUUGGUUUGUGUACUGUUUUGUUGAGGUCUGUUGUGACGUAUUUAACAUCUCUUCCAGUUGUACAGGUUAAAGACUUAGAAGUAAAGAGGAGCAUCUCAUCUGAACCUGAUGUCUAUCAUGGAUAUUCAACUGCAGUUCUACCAGGAAUCCAUGGCUGAAGGCGCUGAUGGAGGAGCCGUGCUGAAGGAGCAGAUGGAGGAGCCGUGCUGAAGGAGCAGAUGGAGGAGCCGUGCUGAAGGAGCUGAUGGAGGAGCCGUGCUGAAGGAGCUGAUGGAGGAGCCGUGCUGAAGGAGCAGAUGGAGGAGCCGUGCUGAAGGAGCUGAUGGAGGAGCCGUGCUGAAGGAGCUGAUGGAGGAGUCGUGCUGAAGGCCCUGCCUUGUGGAGGAGCUGGUGAAGGCCCUGCCUUGUGCAGGACGUCUAUCGUGGGACCAGGACUCUGUCUUAGGAGAGCUGCUGGAGGAGGUGAGACGCUGGAGGACGACUAGGAAUCGACCAACAAGGAUUCCUCAAUGUGUUUCUGGAGCGGAGGCGAGUUGGUAGGGGAGCCGUGAAUCUGGAGGAUGACCAUCACCCUACCAACAAGGAUUACUUUAGGGCCAGACUCGCGCUGUUUGUUCCAGACCAGGACUCUGGCUGAGGAGAGCUGAUGGAGGAGCCAUCACUCAACCAACCAGGAUCCUCACCAGGAAUCUUGAGGACUGAUGGAGAAGCCGUACAUCUGGAAUGCAAAUCCUGAGGACCACCAGGACUCUACCAUCAAGGAUUCCUCUUAAGUUUGCAUUAUCUGGACAUAGUGGACUAGACACACCUGAGCUGAACCUCACCUGAUCCUGUUUGGUCGGGGGUAGACACACCUGAGCUAAACCCGCUCUGAUCCUGACAUCCUGCUGGUCCCGUCUCCUCAGUUCAUCUAAGCCUCGUCCUCCAGAAGACCUGCUGAGCUCAGCAGUCUGAGGCUUAUGGAUCAAUGACCUCCAGUGGGAGUGAUCUUCUUGACCCUACAUGUAACCGUGUGCUUCCACACGCCUUUCCCUCACGUCUGUCACUAACCUCACUACUUCACUACUCUCUACUGCUUCCUUUUUUCUUCCUUCUCUGUGGUUCAAACCUUUACACUGAAGGCGCGUCUUCCUGCCCUCAGAGGGUUUAGCGUUAGGGUUGAGAAUCAGGUUUUAGAGUCAGGGACAGAGCUGGUCAGGGAGGACUGCUUUUACACAAACCUCUUCAGUUGCUUUCGGAAUGGUUGUGACAUUUUGAAAAAUUCAUUUGGGAAAAAAAUUUCCUCUGCUUUCCUUCCUCAAACUUCGAAAAAAGUGUUUUCGUUUAUACAGUAUAUUAAAAUCCCACAUUGACUUCUACAUGUUUGGUGCGGUUCAAUUAAUUGUCCUUUAACUUGGUUAAUGUCAAGCUAAACUCCUGCAAUACAUUUAAUACCUAUACAUGAUUGUUAUUCAGCAAUGUUCACAUAAUCCAUUUUGUAAAAAUAUGAAACCUCCAUAUUACUACUAAAUUCAAGCCUAUUCAUGUAUUUAACAAUGUGCAUACUGCCCCGCAGGCCAUUCUCUGCUAAUACAACACGUUCAAUCCACCAACCCGUCUCACAUCAAUGUGCUAUAGCUACGUUGGUUCAAACGGAAAAUGUAGUUUGGUGUGAGAAUGUUGUCCAGCAGAGGGAGCUGUUAUACACCUUAAUUAUACAGGAAUGUCUGUAAUUACAUUUUAAAAUGUUCAUGGGCUGGUCUAGUUUGUCUGCAAAUAACUCUGCCUCCAGCAACAGGAUUGGUCGAAACAUAUGAAGUGAAAGCAAUAAAAGCCCAGUUCACCAGAUCUGAGGUCAGCUGCUUUCAGAUUUUCGAUCAUGAAUGUAUUGAGUGAACGACGUCUGAGCUAAAUAUUAACCACCUGGAACUUGGUUUCCUGGAGCCUGGAGGACGGCAGGACGCGUGUUUACCUGGUCGAUUAGGCCCUGAACGCUGACCCUGAACCCAGACAUCCUAAUCACAGACCCUGUGUUUAAUUAGCCCCGAAUAUAAUUUUUGGGUUAAAAAAAUAAAAGUAAAAAUAUGUAUAAUU
ensembl:lncRNA